rnacentral:rRNA from 1 species
UACGUAGGUGGCAAGCGUUGUCCGGAAUUAUUGGGCGUAAAGCGCGCGCAGGUGGUUCCUUAAGUCUGAUGUGAAAGCCCACGGCUCAACCGUGGAGGGUCAUUGGAAACUGGGGAACUUGAGUGCAGAAGAGGAAAGUGGAAUUCCAAGUGUAGCGGUGAAAUGCGUAGAUAUCUGGAGGAACACCGGUGGCGAAGGCGGCAUCCUGGACCGGCAUUGACGCUGAGGCGCGAAAGCCAGGGGAGCAAACGGG